GACGAACGCUGGCGGCGUGCUUAACACAUGCAAGUCGAACGGAAAGGCCCCAGCUUGCUGGGGUACUCGAGUGGCGAACGGGUGAGUAACACGUGGGUGAUCUGCCCUGCACUCUGGGAUAAGCCUGGGAAACUGGGUCUAAUACCGGAUAGGACCGUGCUUUAGUGUGUGCGGGGGAAAGUUUUUCGGUGCAGGAUGAGCCCGCGGCCUAUCAGCUUGUUGGUGGGGUAAUGGCCUACCAAGGCGGCGACGGGUAGCCGGCCUGAGAGGGUGUACGGCCACAUUGGGACUGAGACACGGCCCAGACUCCUACGGGAGGCAGCAGUGGGGAAUAUUGCACAAUGGGCGCAAGCCUGAUGCAGCGACGCCGCGUGGGGGAUGACGGCCUUCGGGUUGUAAACCCCUUUCGGCAGGGACGAAGCUUUUGUGACGGUACCUGCAUAAGAAGCACCGGCUAACUACGUG
rnacentral:rRNA from 1 species